AUCCCACUAGAGGAGCCUGUCCUAUAAUCGAUGAUCCCCGUUCAACCUCACCCCUCCUAGCUUUCAGCCUGUAUACUUCCGUCGCCAGCCCACCACAUGAGCGCCCCUCAGUGGGCUCCUUGCCUAUUCGCACUAACGUCAGGUCAAAGUGCAGCUAAUGGAGGGGGAAGAGAUGGGCUACAUUCUCUAGCGUAGAGUAUACGAAUGACUGCAUAUGAAACCCAGUCUGAAGGCGGAUUUAGAAGUAAAGAGGAAUCAGAGUGCCCUCUUUAAAUUGGCUCUGAGAUGUGUACACACCGCCCGUCACCCUCCUCAAAGCCUUUAAACAGUAAUUAACAACUAACGGCGCAAAAGAGGAGGCAAGUCGUAACAUG
rnacentral:rRNA from 1 species